AAAUGCCAGGAUCGCCCCCCGUCAGCGUUAUACGCCCACGGGGGCCAAGGUG
rnacentral:sRNA from 2 species